rnacentral:lncRNA from 1 species
UCUCUGACAAGAGAAACUAUAAAAUGAAAACUUAUCAAACGCGGAUACAGACUCUAAUGGUCAUGACAUGCACAUGUGGCCUAUCAUCUGUCGUCAAUCGUCUUUCACAAUUUGUGUUUGGUGAUUUUCAUCUGAUUCUCAAGCUUUAUUCGACUUGUAGUUCGCAAAGGGUUUUCACUAUUAAGCCUCUCUCAUUUUGGUUUUUCUCUCAGCUUUUA